AGUGAACGCUGGCGGUAGGCCUAACACAUGCCAGUCGAACGGCAGCACAGUAAGAGCUUGCUCUUACGGGUGGCGAGUGGCGGACGGGUGAGGAAUACAUCGGAAUCUACUUUUUCGUGGGGGAUAACGUAGGGAAACUUACGCUAAUCCCGCAAACGACCUACGGGGGAAAGCAGGGGUUCUCGGGACUUUGCGCAUUUGAUUGGGCCGAUGUCGGAUUAGCUAGUUGGCGGGGUAAAGGCCCACCAAGGCGACGAUCCGUAGCUGGUCUGAGAGGAUGAUCAGCCACACUGGAACUGAGACACGGUCCAGACUCCUACGGGAGGCAGCAGUGGGGAAUAUUGGACAAUGGGCGCAAGCCUGAUCCAGCCAUACCGCGUGGGUGAAGAAGGCCUUCGGGUUGUAAAGCCCUUUUGUUGGGAAAGAAAAGCAGCAGGUUAAUACCCCGCUGUUCUGACGGUACCCAAAGAAUAAGCACCGGCUAACUUCGUG
rnacentral:rRNA from 1 species